rnacentral:rRNA from 1 species
UAAGCAUAUCAAUAAGCGGAGGAAAAGAAACCAACUGGGAUUGCCUUAGUAACGGCGAGUGAAGCGGCAACAGCUCAAAUUUGAAAUCUGGCGUCUUUGGCGUCCGCGUUGUAAUUUGUAGAGGAUGCUUCGGCGAGGGCUCCGGUCUAAGUUCCCUGGAACGGGACGUCAUGGGGGGUGAGAAUCCCGUAUGUGAUCGGUUGCCUAAGCCAUGUGAAGCUCCUUCGACGAGUCGAGUUGUUUGGGAAUGCAGCUCUAAAUGGGAGGUAAAUUUCUUCUAAAGCUAAAUACCGGCCAGAGACCGAUAGCGCACAAGUAGAGUGAUCGAAAGAUGAAAAGCACUUUGGAAAGAGAGUUAAAAAGUACGUGAAAUUGUUGAAAGGGAAGCGCUUGCAACCAGACUCGUCCGCAGUUGCUCAGCCGGUCUCUUGACCGGCGUACUCUUCUGCGGCCGGGCCAGCAUCAGUUCGGGCGGCCGGAUAAAGGCCUCGGGAAUGUAGCACCCUUCGGGGUGUGUUAUAGCCCGGGGUGGAAUGCGGCCAGCCUGGACUGAGGAUCUCGCUUCGGCUAGGAUGCUGGCGUAAUGGUUGUAAGCGGCCCGUCUUGAAACACGGACCAAGGAGUCUAACAUCUAUGCGAGUGUUUGGGUGUCAAACCCAUGCGCGUAAUGAAAGUGAACGGAGGUGGGAACCCUCACGGGUGCACCAUCGACCGAUCCUGAUGUCUUCGGAUGGAUUUGAGUAUGAGCAUAGCUGUUGGGACCCGAAAGAUGGUGAACUAUGCCUGAAUAGGGUGAAGCCAGAGGAAACUCUGGUGGAGGCUCGCAGCGGUUCUGACGUGCAAAUCGAUCGUCAAAUUUGGGUAUAGGGGCGAAAGACUAAUCGAACCAU